AUGGAUGCCCUGCUUGUACAGAGUGUGGUGUCUUCGGUCAUGGACCCACUUCUGCACCUGACGCCUCUUGGCGAAGCCCCAGGCCUUCUCCUCAUUCCUGCUGGGGACACAGUGCCAAACCCCACACAGAGGUUCGCUCUCUUUUCAGUGGCUGCCCUCUUCCACACCUGUAGCCCUGGCCGGGCUUCAAGACCAAGAGUGUCAUCAAAAAGUGUUGUGAGACUGCUACCUAGUGAAGAGGCAUGGGCGCUGGUUUGUCCACUGUAAUACCAGCCCCAAGCACAAGCAGCAGCAA
rnacentral:lncRNA from 1 species